rnacentral:rRNA from 1 species
ACGGCUCAGUAACACGUGGGCAACCUGCCUUUUGCUUUGGGAUAGCCAUGGGAAACUGUGGGUAAUACCGAAUAAUCCGCUAACCUCGCAUGAAGUUAGCGGCAAAGCUUUUGCGGCAAAAGAUGGGCCCGCGGCCUGUUAGCUUGUUGGUGAGGAGAACUCUCAAGGGGGCGAUGAUGGGUAGCCGGGUUGAGAGACCGACCGGCCAGAUUGGGACUGAGACACGGCCCAGACUCCUACGGGAGGCAGCAGUGGGGAAUCUUGCGCAAUGGGCGAAAGCCUGAUGGAGCAACGCCGCGUGAGUGAUGAAGGGUUUCGGCUCGUAAAACUCUGUUGUUGGAGAAGAACAGGUGUGAGAGUAACUGUUCACAUCUUGACGGUAUCCAACCAGAAAGCCACGGCUAACUACGUGCCAGCAGCCGCGGUAAUACGAU